UGGCGGACGGGUAGAGUAAUAUGGUAAGGAAUCUCGCCUUGAGAGGGGACAACAGAGGGAAACUUCUGCUAAUACCCCAUAUGAGCGUACCUGAAAUGGUAUUCUUGAAAAACUCCGGUGCUCAAGGAUGAGCCUGCAUCUGAUUAGCUUGUUGGCGGUGUAAAUGGACCACCAAGGCGACGAUCAGUAGCUGGUUUGAGAGGAUGAUCAGCCACAAUGGGACUGAGACACGGCCCAUACUCCUACGGGAGGCAGCAGUAGGGAAUUUUUGCGCAAGUGGGCGAAAGCCUGACGCCAGCGAUGCCGCGUGAACGUAGAAGCCCUUCGGGGUGGUAAAGUUCUGUCAGUGGGGACGAAUUUUGACGGUACCCACAGAGGAAGCACCGGCUAACUCCGUGCCAGCAGCAGC
rnacentral:rRNA from 1 species